UUUUUAUUUUAGUAUUUUUUUUUAUAAAAUUUUAAACCCUAAUUCCAAAACCCCACCCCUUAACUCUAAACCCUAAGGUUUGAAUUAAUUAACCCAAGGGGUAUAAGUAUAUAUUUACCUCUUUAAUGAAACCUAUUUUUGUGACUUUGAGCCUUGAGUGCUACUUUGGGAACAUAAACUUGGUUUAGUGCUAUUCUAGUCUUUUUCUCAUAUUUAUAUCCGUGUAUGAGCAUGAGAAAAUCACCUAGUAAUAAAUAAACACAUUGUAAAUUGCAACACUAUACAAGAGAUUAAAAAAAAACAACUCACCCCAUGAAGAAAACUUCAAAACCAAACAUGCAUGAAUGAAGCUCUCUGACUCCAAAUGAUAUGAAACUCCCGAACUAAGACAAAACGAAAACAUGAUUUUACUAGCACUUUUCUUCGCAGACGCAAUGCAACGUUGUUGUGUAUUUCCUCCUCUUUUCUCCGCACACCAACCUCUCCUGUUACAGUCGCAUCACAUCAAGAUUGAUUACCAAAUCCAUAGCCAAGAAGAGAACUACGAAAAAAAUUCUCAAAGAUGAGAAGCAGAAAGCAUGGCCAGAGAAGUCACGAAGAACUGCUUUGGAUCUCUAAUGUCUUCGAGAGGAUCCACUUCUCUUCUCCGAACAUUGUGAAGAUUCACAACGGCAGAUUCACAAAGGCAGCUGAUAUUUCUGGCAUCUCAGGUUCAUCAAUGGCACUUUCCUGCUCAGGCCUUGAAACAAGAGUCACUAUACUAUUCACCAUAUCACCCCAUAUCUUAGAAGCUGCUGGAUUGAGAAGGGCUGGAGUCUCACAUAUGAGUCUUGUCGCGGCAACUGUGGUUAACUUUACCUCCAUAGUUCGCAUGAUCAGCUUAAGGUUUGGAAUCCAGAAACGCUCCACGAUCGUAGUGAAAAUGUUCUGUUGAACAGUAUUCAUAGUGUCGACUAGAUUAGCCGGUCCGUGCUUCCGUGAACAAAUCAAUGCCAACAAUACUUUAUAUGGGUUUGCAUUUUUAUGUUCAAAUAAAACAUAAAAAUCAUCAUAAAUAAAAUUAGAAAGAUUAAGUUAAUUGACAUAUUGUCCAACUAACAAAAUCAAUCACAAAUUCAAACCAAUACAUCCAAAGUGAUCAAUUUGCUAAAUGUUUUAUACUUAAAUCAAAUUUAAAACUUUACAAGCUUUGCAAAUAACUCACUUUGGACAUCUAUUUCUCAUUCAACACAACUCCGAUUUUGACAAGUAAAUACACUAAUUCAUAGUGUUCACGGUGACGAUUACAUCGUGCCCAAAUUCCUGUUUUUCCGACAGACGUCUCCGUCAAAAACUCAUCGGAAAAAUGGUCAACACCACUUUGUCAAAACCGAAUUCCAACAAAAAGGAGUAAAGAAAACAGCAGGACACAAUAUAGUUCAAUCUAAUGGAACACCGCAUAGGUUCAUAGCUCAUGACAAACACACAUUUUGACUCCGAGAGAUAUACGCAAUGUUACAUCUGGUUGGUACUUGGAUGGAUAUCAUGGUAGUUUGUUCUUGAUCAUAUACUACCAUGAUAUCUUAAUCUUUUUUAUUUGGUACUUUUUUUAGUCAACUGUUUUAUUUGGUAUUUAGGAUAUAAUUGACCCACUCUUAUUUCUUGUAAUGGAAGUUAUCAAUAGAAAAUGCCUUGGUAUGAAAAAACUUCAAACAAAAUUCGAUUUAUUCAAAUCCAGCAUGUAAUCAAAAACUGUUUCCUCACUGUGAUAUCUUUUGAUUAUCACUCUCUUUAAUUGAAAAAGAAUAUCGACUAAGAGGAACAACCAUAAAAGAGUGUGCAAUCCAUCAAUAAGGAGGGAUUAGGGUUCUUUUUUUCUUUGUUUACUUCUUAAAGGUUUUAAGAUGAAAAAAAACGUGAGCUAGUGAAAACAAGGGGGAGAUGAAUUUUUGGUUUUGGUAUAUCUAUUUUGUUUGUUUAGAGGUUAGUUCUUAUUAAUUGGAUUAUGAUGAUACAAAGCUCCCUGAAUUUUAUUUUGAUGAUAAGGUAUACAAUUUAUUUUAUAUUGUCAUUUAAUUUAUGUUAUAAGUUUCUAAAUUUCCUCAUAUUACUGUGUUUCUAUUAAAACAAUAAAUCAUUUUAAGAUAUCAGUUAUGCAUUCGAAUGAGAUAAGCAUUACAUACUUGAGGUAGGUACAAAUAGCAUAAUCCGAGUCAUCGAUCAUGAGAAACUUACCGAACAUAUGGUAACUUCUUAUGUAGAGUCAAUAAAAAUGUAUAAUCUCUUUUCACAUGUACAAAUAUUAUCUUCCUAAGUCUAAAUUAAUAAAGAUAAAACUUUAUACUAUAAUAGGUUCAAUCAUCUACUAAUUGCUAAUAGAGAAAUUUAACAUAUUUUAGUUUUAGUUUCUAUCUAUAUUUUUCAUGAUUUAAAUUGUUACAAUUGUUUGUGUGUUUUCAGUUUAGAUAAACUUUAAAUGUAACUGAGCAAUGAAAUAAAAGAAUUUGGAGGGAAAUGGAAUGCACAAGACUUGCUCAUAGAUGUCCUUCAAAUUGUUUAACAUGCUUUACAAGAUGCAAAUGUCUUUAAUGAUGAUAUUUUUUCUUUUAUUCAAUUUCAAAAGUUAUUGUUAAGUGUUUUAUAUCUUCUUAAUUACUACUCCUACUCUGCAUAUUUGAAACUAUAAAGAAAAACAUAUAUUUUCUAAGUUCAGCAUAAAACAACUUCUAAGCAAGACUUUCGGUAUAUCAUGAUCACCUGUGAAGAUCAUCAAGUCGCUAUGGUAGGCUGCGGCUAUAUCUGACAUCAUUCUCAGUUUAUAUGGACUGACUGCCAACUGUCGUAUCAAAGAACUAGCGGGUAGUUUAACAAGAACAGGUUCCAACAAGUCUUGUGGCAGAGACAUUUUUUCAAUACAUUUAUCUGGCAUUUUUUCAGACAUCAACCUGAAAAGAAUAAGAAAAAAUAAGCAAAACUUUCAGUAUAUUUAUAAACCUUAAACCCCAAAUCCACCUAAAAAUUAAAUCCUAAUCAAAGAUUGUGAAAAAGAAAGAGAUGAAACUUGUUAGUUGAUUCGAUGGAACAGAGUACUUUGUUGUCACAAGAGCUUGCUCUGCGAAUCUCUCCAAAAGAAAAGGAAAUAAAAACGCAAAAUUUUCAGAACAUCUGUAAACCUUAAUCCCCAACUCAACCUCGAAAUUAAACCCUAAAAGAAGAAGAAGAAGAAGGUCUUUGGUUUCAACGGUCUAAAUCUUUUUUCAACGUUAUUAUUUUACUAUCAUUUCAUUUCUUUGCCUAAUUUUUCAUUUAAUUAUAUAGCUGCCAUUUUUAAAAGAAGAAGAAAAAAAUGUGAAGUGUUAAAAAUUUGUAAAAUAUUAAUUACCGUUUUGAUUCCAAAAACCGACCCCGCGCGUGUUAUUGAUGAUGAUUGUCUCUUCCUAAUCCUAUAUAUUUUCAUUUUAGACCCUUAUCUUUCCGAUAAUCAUUGUUUUCGUCUGAAAAAAAGUCAAGAAUCAUUCUUAUGUCUUUUUUUUACUAUCAUUUAUUUUCUUAUGUCUUUUUUUUUAGCAAAUAAAUCAUUCUUAUGUCUUAUCAGAUUCUUUGCUCUGUUUCGGAAUUGUGGUCAACUUUUGUUUAAUUAUAUUAUCAUCUGCACAAAUUUCCUGCAAACGUGGAAUUCAUUGUUUAUGAAUAUAUAUAGGAUUAGGAAAAGAUAGUCAUCAUUCCAAUUCCACGUUUAAUUAGUUUCGGUUAAGAGACCGGAAUUAAUGAUGCCCUUACAAGACAGAAAGUUGUCCAACAUGUAACAAACAACCCAUCUUUGAGAUUGCAUGUAACGUGCUGAACAUUAUAGAAAACAUCAUCGUAGUUCAAGACGCCUUGUCCAAAGUACUUCAAAACCAGAGGCUUACGGAUCCUUUUGUCCCCCUCUCAUAACCACCAGACGAGUCCACAUGGUUUCUCACACAAAUAUCUUCACGUAACUCAUCCUAAGUAAACUAUUGGUGGAUUUUGUUUUUUGAUAUUAGGAUCUCAAAAGGAGGUAUGCAUGUAUACGUGCAAACGCAGAGGACGAUCUAACUGUCAGCAUAACAUAAGCUGACCUCAUCAUCACCGCUUAAGCCGUGACUGCCCUGAACGGACCCGCCUUCGCAAUUGCAAACCUUAUUGGACUUAGCCGAAACCAUGUAAAAUGACAAUAGUGCCUUGAACAUAUAUAAUUAUAUAUAACACAACAAAAAAGAUGUUUAACGCCUUGAACAUAUAUAAUUAUAUAUAACACAACAAAAAAGAUGUUUAACCCCAAUUACAAGCAAAUUGAGAAGGGUAAAUGUUUGUGGUAGAAAAAGGAAAACUAGCACGUCCACGUUAUUUUGUUCGAGUGUAUGAUUACGCUAUCUUUUUCUUAUAACAAAUUAAAAAGGAGUUGUUGUUUUUAAUAAAGCAAUUCCUUUUCAAUUGCAUGUACUAUUAUUUAUAGUAAAAAGAAAAUAAUUAUGUUUGAAGAGGUUACACUUUCCAGUUGAAAGAUACAAACAAGAGGAUGUAGAAAUAAUCCUCCUAUAUAUUAACUGAGAAGUCACUUUAGUGAUUUAUGCUGACAUGUCGCUUAUAAAAGAACUUUCUAAUUAAUUGUUAUAAUUUGAUUAGUUUAUGAUUUUUAUUUUUUAUUUAUUUAAUUAAAGUUUUUAAACGAAAACUAUUCAUAGAAUUAUCUAAUCUAAUCUAUGUUUCUAAACAUACAAUUAAACAUCUUAAAUAUAGAUGAAUUAAUAUAAGUUGCUUAUAGAAAUAAUUAAAUAUCUAGAUUACAUUAUAUAAAUUGAUAAGAUACAUAUAAAUACAUAUGAUACUAUCAAAACAAUUGUAAAACGGUUUUUAUUAUGUUUAUGUUAGUAGUGAAUAAAAUAAAUCAUAUAUUUUAGAAAACUAAUUAAUCUAAACUUAAUAACAUUAAUCAAAUUCACUCAUCCACUAUAUAUAUAGUAUAAAAUGUGCCAAAUGAAUGCAAAACAGUCAAAUAUAUAAUUCUAAAAAUUUUAAAUCAUUUUCCAAUGACAAUAUGAUAUCAUAUACGCAUUGUCACUUUUAGAAAUGAUUAAAAUGUCUUAUAUUUUAAAACAUAAAAAUUAUUUUGUAAGUUAUUUAAAUGUAUAUUAAUCAAGAAAUUUUUUAUUUAAUUCAUCUAUUAAUAUAAACAUGAGUUAACGUUAUUAUAUGGUAAGUCAUUUAAAAUUAUAUUAUUUGGUAAUUCAUUUAUAUAUGGUAAGUCAUUUAAUUAUAUUAACCAAAGUAUUUUUCACAGGAUUUUUCUAGAGUUCAUACUCUAUUAAUAUAAUUCAUAUAGCUUGGAUAAUAAUAAAAUUAGCAUGCUUACUUUUAAUAAGAAAGAAAAAAUCAGACAUAAAUAAAAGAACAAGAGGGAAGAAUAAUAAAACAUGUUUGUUGUGUUCUGGUAUUUUUAUAUUUUUAUAUAUUUAAUUUUUAUUUGUUUGUCGAGGUACAUGUAUUUUUUUGUGUUACUAUAAAUGUGAACUAUUAGUUUUAUGUGUUUUUAAAAUGUUAUGAUAAAUUUUGUAAGGAAGUUCAAUAAAAAUGACCAGCUCUACAAUUGUUAAAGUCAAAGAUGGAAAAUAUAAUAUAAAUUGAAAGUAAAAAAAAUUAUUUAAAACUUAAUGCGAUGUAUUUUACGCUAUAAUAAACUUUUAAAAUGUAUGAUAAUAAAAUUUUAACAAAAUUUAUACAAAUAAAAACAAUUUAUUUCAAAUAAUAUUGGAUUUUACAUUAAUAUUAAGUAUAUAUGCCAAAAUAACAACAUUUGAUUAUUUAAAAGUUGAAAUAUUAUUUUUUCUUAUUAGUUAAUCAAAUUUAAUUAAUAUAGGUAUGUUUUAAUUUAAAUUAAAAUAAAUUAAAACAAUAAUUUUUAAAAGAUAUGUAAACUAUGAUUAGUUUUAAUUAAAAACAUUUGGUUGAAUGAGUUAGUGUUUGAUAAAAUAGUGUGAUGACCAGAGAUAAUUUAAGGAAAAAUUUAUUUGCUUAACCUAUUUGAGUUUUGUGUUAAACACUAAAUUAAAAAAAUGAGUGAGAAAGUGUGAUUUGGAACAAAUUAUGAGAAAAAUUGGUUAAACUACUAUUUUCCUAAUACAUGUUUUUAUGUUUACCUUAAACAAAUUUAUCUUUAGUUUUAAAUUAAGAGAUAAAUCGUACUAUAUAUUAAUUCAGAAGCCAUACUUUUGAUUUUGUUUCUUUAAUAGGUUAAGUUUUUAAAAAUAGUUAUAAUUUGAUUGGUUGUCUCCGGGAGGCGGAGGCUCCAUCAGCUCUGUCGACGCCGGUUCAGGUCCCCGCGAGGUGGAGGCUACGUUUAGCUCUGCCGUCGUCGGUCUAGAUUAUGGGGGGUGAAGGUGCUCCUUGCUUUGCCUCGCCGUCGGUUAGUUCCCUCGUUUAAUUUUUUAGGGUUUAGUUGGUUUUCUUUCCUACUAGUGUUGUUGACGUUGGUUGGUGUGGAUGGGUGGUGACGACGUCGGAGGACGAUCGAAGCUCGACCAAGGUUAAAGGUGACGGUUCCCGCAAAAGUCUUCCUCUCGGUGAUUGCGACGAAUGGCGACGGAUGAGAUCUCGAUUCGUCGAGUGAUACUCUCCGAAUUUGGGCUCACUUCUGUCGAAGACGGUUGGCGGUGGUGAUGGUGUGGAGUCAGUGAACUCUGGUGAUCCGGGUGAACCGACGGUUGGUUCCCGGUGUUGAUUCGAAGUGAGAGCGUCAUCGAUGCCGUAGCGUGUGUCCGCGCGGCGACGAAGCCUAGUGGGUGUUAGGGUUUCUAGUUGGUGGGCUUUAGGCCCAGAAGUUUAAUGUUUUUGGCCCAGGUUUUAUGGGCUUAUGUAUGUCUUUAAUUAGGACUUUUAGACCCAUUAAUCUAAAAUCUAUUGACGGAAAAAAAAAUGGUUUACGCCAAAAAAUAAUAAUAAUAAUAAAGAAAAGGAGCUGUUUGUAACUUUGUAUCGUCUUGUACGGUUGUACCUUAUAAAAAACAUACCAAUUCUUGUUUCCAUUCUAAUGAAAACAUACCCCUCUCCCUCUUCCUACAUCCCAAACCAUUAGAAACAGCGGAUCCACAGCAUCAACAAGAGCAGCCUUCUUCCUCGUCGUCUCCGGAUCAGAAGAAAUGGGAGACUCACGUGAUGGCAGCUCUGGUGGCUCAUCCCGAUAACCAGCAACCCUCUCGAGCCCGUCAUCGGAAUGUUCCAUACUUGGAGCCGAAAGGCUGAAAUGCUCGCUCGCAACAUCUGGCAUAAUCAAAAGUCGCGGAGAAGAAGAAGAUCAGUCAAUCUCGGAGACAAUGGCGAGGAUCGAGCUCAUUGACGACGAGGAGGAGGAAAAGAGGAAGAUGAAGAUGAAAAAGAGAAACCAUGGAUCCACGAAGCUUUUCCUGUUGGUUGACUAUCUUUUCAUCUUUAUAUUCUUCUGCUUCCUUUGUUUCAUCAUCUUCAAGGUACUGGGCCCCAGAAACUUACAUCGGUUUGGUUUGGACACGGAAGGCAUUUCCUUUUGUCUUAAUCGCAUUGUUUUAUGAGCUUCGGGAUGUUGUCUUUUUUUUUGCAGCUAAUUGAUCAGACCAAACGCUAACUGUUCUUGUCUGUAAUACAUUUUUGGUUGCUGUUAUAUCUUUUUAAUAGCAUAUACUCAAAUGCUCGUGAUCUAUCCAAUACAUUAUAUCUUUUUAUAGAGAGGGAUAACAAAGAUAUGACUGGUAGACUUGUUACAGACUCUUUUGCAUCUAGCAAAUGCUUAUUUGGUGACAGUUUUGAAGUCAUGGUUGUGGCACUGGUGGAACUUGAUCUUCUCUUGAGCUCGGACCGGAAGCUUCGUAUCCAGAGUUUGGGGAAAAACUACUAGGGAUUCCAUAAGAAGAAGUGGUGGGAGCAGCAGCAGCAGCAACUGGAGUUUUGUAAAAAUGGAAUGGCUUCUUAUGAUUUGGUGGCAGCAAGAACCACCCUAAACCAGGAAUGAGACUUGAUGGUUGGGGUGCGCGAGCUUUACAAGAAAGUUUGAAUUUUUGAUAUCAGUGUCAUUGGAGGAGUUGGGAAUGUAACGCAUUGCGGUUACUUUCUCUGGACAUCCAAGAAUCAGGCUUUGCAGAAUUAUUGUCUGCGGUUCUGCAUCUAUUCACUUCAUCAACACAGAAUCUCCCACAGUAAACAAAAAAUCUUAGACUAUGUUUUGUUGAGUUUCAUAAAUGUUGUUUCAUGUAAUCUUUGGCGAGAGCAUUCAGCAAGACAUAAACAGUUAAACUUUAUAUUAAUAAGAUAAGAAGGGAUAAAUUAACUGUA